AGAGUUUGAUCCUGGCUCAGAACGAACGUUGGCGGCGUGGUUUAGGCAUGCAAGUCGAACGAGAAAGUUUCCUUCGGGAAGCGAGUACAGUGGCGAACGGGAGAGUAACGCGUGGGAAACCUGCCCUUCAGCGGGGGAUAACACUCCUAACGGGGUGCUAAUACCGCAUACGAUCCGGAGACCUCAUGGUCACCGGAUGAAAGAUGGCCUCUACAUGUAAGCUGUCACUGAAGGACGGUCCCGCGUCCCAUUAGCUUGUUGGUGGGGUAAUGGCCUACCAAGGCGACGAUGGGUAGCCGGCCUGAGAGGGUGUCCGGCCUCACUGGGACUGAGAUACGGCCCAGACUCCUACGGGAGGCAGCAGUCGAGAAGCUUCGGCAAUGGACGAAAGUCUGACCGAGCGACGCCGCGUGAGCGAUGAAGGCCCCAGUGGUCGUAAAGCUCUGUCAGGAGGGAAUAAAUACCUACGGUUAAUACCCGUAGGGGCUGAAGUACCUCCAGAGAAGCGCCGCUAACUA
rnacentral:rRNA from 1 species